CGGAGGGAUCAUUACUGAGUUUACGCUCUACAACCCUUUGUGAACAUACCUAUAACUGUUGCUUCGGCGGGUAGGGUCUCCGCGACCCUCCCGGCCUCCCGCCUCCGGGCGGGUCGGCGCCCGCCGGAGGAUAACCAAACUCUGAUUUAACGACGUUUCUUCUGAGUGGUACAAGCAAAUAAUCAAAACUUUUAACAACGGAUCUCUUGGUUCUGGCAUCGAUGAAGAACGCAGCGAAAUGCGAUAAGUAAUGUGAAUUGCAGAAUUCAGUGAAUCAUCGAAUCUUUGAACGCACAUUGCGCCCGCCAGCAUUCUGGCGGGCAUGCCUGUUCGAGCGUCAUUUCAACCCUCAAGCUCUGCUUGGUGUUGGGGCCCUACAGCUGAUGUAGGCCCUCAAAGGUAGUGGCGGACCCUCUCGGAGCCUCCUUUGCGUAGUAACUUUACGUCUCGCACUGGGAUCCGGAGGGACUCUUGCCGUAAAACCCCCAAUUUUCCAAAGGUUGACCUCGGAUCAGGUAGGAAUACCCGCUGAACUUAAGCAU
rnacentral:rRNA from 1 species